UACGUAGGUGGCUAGCGUUGUCCGGAUUUACUGGGCGUAAAGAGCGCGCAGGCGGUCGUUCAAGUCGAGUGUGAAAGCCCCCGGCUCAACUGGGGAGGGUCACUCGAUACUGAUCGACUUGAAGGCGGGAGAGGGAAGCGGAAUUCCCGGUGUAGUGGUGAAAUGCGUAGAUAUCGGGAGGAACACCAGUGGCGAAGGCGGCUUGCUGGCCCGUUCUUGACGCUGAGGCGCGAAAGCUAGGGUAGCAAACGGG
rnacentral:rRNA from 1 species